UACGUAGGGUGCAAGCGUUGUCCGGAAUUAUUGGGCGUAAAGAGCUCGUAGGCGGUUAGUCGCGUCUGCUGUGAAAACUCGGGGCUUAACCCCGGGCCUGCAGUGGGUACGGGCAGACUAGAGUGCGGUAGGGGAGACUGGAAUUCCUGGUGUAGCGGUGAAAUGCGCAGAUAUCAGGAGGAACACCGGUGGCGAAGGCGGGUCUCUGGGCCGUAACUGACGCUGAGGAGCGAAAGCGUGGGGAGCGAACAGG
rnacentral:rRNA from 1 species